CGCGGGAGACUGAGGCAGGAGAACGGCAUGAAGCCCGGGGAUUGGAGCCUGCAGUGAGCCGAGAUCGCACCACUGCACUCCAGCCUGGGCGACAGCGAGACUCUGUCUCAAAAAAAUAAAAUAAAAUAAAAUUUUAAAAAAGCAUUUAACAACAACAACAAAAAAUUCAAUUUUAGGAUUCACCUGAGAAAAGAAUACCUCAAUACUGCUACACUUUCAAAAAUGUUUAGAAUCACAUAAAAAUUCACUUCAAUAAAAGAAUGCUUCUGCAGUUUGGGGAUAAAAGUUUCUACCAAAUAAUCAGUCCCUAAAACGCUAAAACUAAAAAUUUGCUACAAGAAACUUUUCAUGUAAUAUUUAAAGAUUUUUAGAAUUACCAAAAUUAAAUGUAGAUCUGUUUAACUCCUAUCAAUUUUAGGUAUCACCACAAAUAUAACAUUCUCUUAAUGAUGGUUUCUUAAGACUGGGCACAUAGGCUCACGCCUGUAAUGCCAGGAUUUGGGGAGGCCAAGGCAGGUGACUGCUUGAGCCCAGGAGUUCCAGACCAGCCUGGGCAACAUAGUGAAACCUGUCUCUACAAAAUACAAAAACCUGUAGUCACAGCUACUCAGGAGGCUGAGAUGGAAAAGAUCACUUGAGCCCAGGGAGGUUGAAACUGCAGCAAGCCGAGACAGCGCCACUGCACUCCAGCCUGGGUGACACAGUGAGACCCUGUCUCCAAAAAAGAAAAGGUUUCUUAAAACAUAAUUUAACUGUAAUCUUACUUGGUGAUACAUUACUUUUUUCUAGGAAGAAACAAUAGGAAGGAAAAGAAAAAAAGAAAAUGAGUAAAGAAUGUCUCAAAGGGAUCACAUAAGUCUGAAAACCACUAUCUUGAAUUGUAUAUGGCAGAACUCUAGCAAUAUUAGGGAGUAGAGCGUCCCCAGCAUUUACAGGUGUGCCAGAAUAUUGAUCUCCCAUCCCGGGAGUUUCAUGAGGUGCUGCCUGCCAGGUGCUUCUAGCCUCCCAAUCUCAUCUACUUUAGUGUACUAUUCAAAACUUACUUUCUAUGUGGGCAGAACCUAAAAGAUGGUUGAGACGCACUGACAGAAUACAUUAAAGCAGUUACUAGCUCAACUUUAAAAUACAUACUCUCCAAUAAGAAAUUCAAAGUCUACCCUUACUUGUUUUACUCAUUACCAAGUAAUGAAAUCCCAUGUUACAUUUGUAUAAUAUGGCAUUUUAAAAAAAAUACAGUUCCUCUUAGAGCUUAAGUAACUUCAGCAGCAGCAGCAACAUCCUGGUGUGGGUUAGAUAAAUCUACUAAAAGCUUUUUGGGUUAAGGACAUGGUCAUUCCAUGUUACAGCUUAUUUUUUCCUAAUCGAAAUCCCCAAAUGAUCAAUUUCCUAGUCUUCUUCCAUGCUUUUUCUCCACUGCACUAUCACCUUCUAAUAUAAUAACACACUUGGCCGCGUGCAGUGGCUCACACCUGUAAUCCUAGUACUUUGGGAGGCCGAGGCGAGUGGAUCGCCUGAGGUCAGGAGUUCAAGACCAGCCUGGCCAACAUGGCAAAACCCAGUCUCCACUAAAAACACAAAAAAAAUUACCUGGGCGUGGUGGCCAGCGCCUGUAAUCCCAGCUACUCAGGAGACUGAGUAGGAGAAUUGCUAGAACCCUGGGAGCGGAGGUUGCAGUGAGCCAAGAUGGCAUCACUGCACUCCAGCCUGAGCAACACAGCGAGACUCCAUCUCAACACAAAAAACAAGAACAAAACACAAUUAACUUAAAUAUGCUGUUCUUAUCUGUCUCUUCUUAUGAGACUAUUUAUUAUUAAAUCCAUGAGGGCAGAAAUCUUGUCUGCUUUUGUUCAUUGCUAUAACCACAGCAACUAGAUAAGUGUCUGACACAUAGAGGUCCCCCAAAAGAUAACUGGCUCAGUGAAUAAACAAAGUUGAUAAUUUUAUUGAAGAUUUAUGUAUAAUCUAGUUGUCUUAAAAGAGCCAAAUGUUGCCAUUAAGAUAGUCAGGAUAUAAAUUCUGUAUAACAAAGAUACAGAAUAACCACACAGAAAGUAGGGUUGUCUUUCAAAAAGCUUGACAUAUAUAUUAAAAUAUUCUUAAAGAUACUACCAGCAAAUCUGCACUAGAUAUUUUAAAAUACAAAUAAAAAGGGAAAGACUUUUCAAUAAAUAUAGGAAGCAUCCGUUUUCCAUUCCUCUAACCAGAAAACACAGAAGAAUAGAGAGUGAUAAGAUUUCGAUGGAACAAGGUGAAGGAAAAACUUAAAAGGGUGGUAAGAGUCUGAGAUAGUAAUACUUAGGGCACAGAAAAAUGCACUAUUGCACUGUCAAUCAAGUAUUUGUUUCCAAUUCUUAAGACAUCAUGUAGGCCAGGCACGGUGGCUCACACCUGUAAUCCCAGCACUUUGGGAGGCCAAGGCAGGCGGAUCACCUGAGUUCGGGAGUUCAAGACCAGCCUGACCAACAUGAAGAAACCCCGUCUCUACUGAAAUACAAAAUUAGCUGGGCGUGGUGGUUCAUGCCUGUAAUCCCAGCUACUCAGGAGGCUGAGGUGGGAGAAUCGCUUGAACUCGGGAGGUGGAGGCUGCGGUGAGCCAAGAUCGCCCCAUUGCACUCCAGCCUGGGCAACAAGAGCGAAACUCCAUCUCAAAAAAGAAAAAAGACACCAUGUAAAGUUCAAGUUCAAGAUUACCAACCUCUCUCUUACAAACAAAUCUGCCUUUUCCAGAUACUAAAUCUAACGAGAUGACACACUACGUUCUCUUGUCAAAUACAAGUGUUGUGGAUUUUAAUCUUAAUGUUUAGCCUCAAAUAAUGUUUUAAUCUUAAUACAGAUAAUAAUCUUAAACUUGUCAUAAAAAAUGUUUUAAUCUUAACACAGAUAAAAAUCUUUAAGUGGUAAUGUAGCCUAUUGCAUCUACUGUUCAACUAGCAUUCCACUGUUCCUUUUUUGGCCUCAAAUGACGAAACUUCUCCAACGUCUCUGGGGAGACUAGUGUAAAGUAUAAUGUUUCCUGAAAUUGUUCCUGUUUUUUCCCUGCACCAUUCGUGAUAUCUCUUCAACUAGAAAUGUUACAUAAAACUUUUCUGUUCUGCAGGCAAGUCCAGAGGGAGAAGCAAGGUAAAGAGAAUAUUGUAAGGAAAACAGGUUGAAAGGGGAAUAACAUAAAAGCACAGGAGUAAAUGUGAAGCAAAGCUAUAUUUGUACAAAAGAGGAAGAAGAUGCAGAAAAGGGAAGAAAAACACUUUUAGCAGAGUAAAGAAAAAAAAAUGGAGGAGGAACAGAGACUUGCUUCUUCCAGAAACAAAAGCAAAAAACACUUCUAAGAAAAUGUGGUCUCUUUACCCAAGGGGAUAUUAUGAAAACGCUAAAGGGUACUCAGCUGACACUCCUAUUGAGCGUUCUACUUUCUCUUCCAAUGCCUUUGAUACCGCUAGUCUUCACCUGUGAAUUAAAUGCAGGCUACAGAUAACGCACUCAAUCCCUGCACAACUACAAUUGUGGUUGCCAUCUUUGCCUGGAAACAAAAAACAAAAAAACCCACAACUCCCUAGAUUCGGGAAAAAGGAGUAAAUUAAGUUGGAAAGCCAGAAAACCACGCCUUGCUAAGUCGGGGGGAUAUGGCACAGGUUAACAAACGCCUCCUACCAAACUAAGGUUCCACUAAAGGUCUGGGAAUAAGGGCAAAGAGAUGUAUAGCCUUAUCGCGACCGCAAGGGUGGGGCCUUGCAGUGGGAAACAAAAUAGAAGGCAAGCUAUCCCGAGAGGUUUAAGGGGGCUGAGGACUCGGCUCUCGGGAGAUCGCCCAUCAGGCGGUGGACACGGGGCAGCUUCGAGAGGAAGGAGACAGUGGACUGCUGGAGGAAUGUCCGCGAGAAUACCGAGGCUGAUGGAAAUAGAAGAUACCCACGGGCACAGGAUUAAGAGUCAAAGGGAAGAAGAGAGGGACGGGGCCGAGCAGUCUGGGGGGCCCGGCGUGGGAGGCCGGAGCAGAGGCCGCUAAGCGCCGUCCGCAGCCAGCCGCCUUCUCCGGAGACGCAUUCUCGGCUCCCGCACACUCAGCCCCCCGCCGCCCCUGCCCCGGCAACAACCGCGGGCGCAGCUGUUUCCGUCGGGCCAGGGACAGCGGGGGUAAAGGCAACCCUGGGGCUGGCGGGCAGCAGACUGGCAGCGCCCGUGUGUGUGUGCGGGGAGCCGAUUCUGAGACCGCCAACGCCAGACUUUGCCCUUUCUUCCCCAACCCUCCUUUAUCACCCAACUUCCCGGCCGGCUGGUGUCCGCUUCGACCGACGGAUACCGCACCCCCCACAACGCCUCUCGCCGCCUCUUACCCCUCCCCCGACGCCCUGAGCUGAGGGAAAACAGGCCACCCGGACCGAUCCCGAACCCGCCCGGGUGUCCCCGAAUCGCGGACGCCACCCCCGCCCGAACGCUGGCACUCUCUCGGCGGCUCCCUGGCCCGCCCAGAUGCAGCAAACUCCUCUCACCUGCAUUGACGCCAUGAUGGAACCAUCCCCCCA
rnacentral:lncRNA from 10 species